rnacentral:rRNA from 1 species
GACCGAUAGUGAACCAGUACCGUGAGGGAAAGGCGAAAAGAACCCCGGCGAGGGGAGUGAAAAAGAACCUGAAACCGUGUACGUACAAGCAGUGGGAGCACGCUUAGGCGUGUGACUGCGUACCUUUUGUAUAAUGGGUCAGCGACUUAUAUUCUGUAGCAAGGUUAACCGAAUAGGGGAGCCGAAGGGAAACCGAGUCUUAACUGGGCGUUAAGUUGCAGGGUAUAGACCCGAAACCCGGUGAUCUAGCCAUGGGCAGGUUGAAGGUUGGGUAACACUAACUGGAGGACCGAACCGACUAAUGUUGAAAAAUUAGCGGAUGACUUGUGGCUGGGGGUGAAAGGCCAAUCAAACCGGGAGAUAGCUGGUUCUCCCCGAAAGCUAUUUAGGUAGCGCCUCGUGAAUUCAUCUCCGGGGGUAGAGCACUGUUUCGGCAAGGGGGUCAUCCCGACUUACCAACCCGAUGCAAACUGCGAAUACCGGAGAAUGUUAUCACGGGAGACACACGGCGGGUGCUAACGUCCGUCGUGAAGAGGGAAACAACCCAGACCGCCAGCUAAGGUCCCAAAGUCAUGGUUAAGUGGGAAACGAUGUGGGAAGGCCCAGACAGCCAGGAUGUUGGCUUAGAAGCAGCCAUCAUUUAAAGAAAGCGUAAUAGCUCACUGGUCGAGUCGGCCUGCGCGGAAGAUGUAACGGGGCUAAACCAUGCACCGAAGCUGCGGCAGCGACACUAUGUGUUGUUGGGUAGGGGAGCGUUCUGUAAGCCUGCGAAGGUGUGCUGUGAGGCAUGCUGGAGGUAUCAGAAGUGCGAAUGCUGACAUAAGUAACGAUAAAGCGGGUGAAAAGCCCGCUCGCCGGAAGACCAAGGGUUCCUGUCCAACGUUAAUCGGGGCAGGGUGAGUCGACCCCUAAGGCGAGGCCGAAAGGCGUAGUCGAUGGGAAACAGGUUAAUAUUCCUGUACUUGGUGUUACUGCGAAGGGGGGACGGAGAAGGCUAUGUUGGCCGGGCGACGGUUGUCCCGGUUUAAGCGUGUAGGCUGGUUUUCCAGGCAAAUCCGGAAAAUCAAGGCUGAGGCGUGAUGACGAGGCACUACGGUGCUGAAGCAACAAAUGCCCUGCUUCCAGGAAAAGCCUCUAAGCAUCAGGUAACAUCAAAUCGUACCCCAAACCGACACAGGUGGUCAGGUAGAGAAUACCAAGGCGCUUGAGAGAACUCGGGUGAAGGAACUAGGCAAAAUGGUGCCGUAACUUCGGGAGAAGGCACGCUGAUAUGUAGGUGAAGUCCCUCGCGGAUGGAGCUGAAAUCAGUCGAAGAUACCAGCUGGCUGCAACUGUUUAUUAAAAACACAGCACUGUGCAAACACGAAAGUGGACGUAUACGGUGUGACGCCUGCCCGGUGCCGGAAGGUUAAUUGAUGGGGUUAGCGCAAGCGAAGCUCUUGAUCGAAGCCCCGGUAAACGGCGGCCGUAACUAUAACGGUCCUAAGGUAGCGAAAUUCCUUGUCGGGUAAGUUCCGACCUGCACGAAUGGCGUAAUGAUGGCCAGGCUGUCUCCACCCGAGACUCAGUGAAAUUGAACUCGCUGUGAAGAUGCAGUGUACCCGCGGCAAGACGGAAAGACCCCGUGAACCUUUACUAUAGCUUGACACUGAACAUUGAGCCUUGAUGUGUAGGAUAGGUGGGAGGCUUUGAAGUGUGGACGCCAGUCUGCAUGGAGCCGACCUUGAAAUACCACCCUUUAAUGUUUGAUGUUCUAACGUUGACCCGUAAUCCGGGUUGCGGACAGUGUCUGGUGGGUAGUUUGACUGGGGCGGUCUCCUCCUAAAGAGUAACGGAGGAGCACGAAGGUUGGCUAAUCCUGGUCGGACAUCAGGAGGUUAGUGCAAUGGCAUAAGCCAGCUUGACUGCGAGCGUGACGGCGCGAGCAGGUGCGAAAGCAGGUCAUAGUGAUCCGGUGGUUCUGAAUGGAAGGGCCAUCGCUCAACGGAUAAAAGGUACUCCGGGGAUA